ACGGAAAUGCAUAUUCCUGUAGAUUCAUAUUUCUCUCAACAAUGUUAUAAGAUACUUUGGAGCUGUUGCAGGAUUAUGUGGUUCCCAUGGCAGCAUAGCAGGCUCAAGAGCCAUCAGACAGUGAAGAGAAAAAAAAAAGAGACACAGAAUCGAGGUGCUGGAUCUCUUACAUGGAAUCACAUCAGAGAGAAAAUAGGAGCUGAGGCAGCGUGAUGUCUGGGGAUCGAGACUGAAGGACAGAUCAAGGGAGAACUGGGUUUUACAUGAUACACCCAGGGAAGCAAAAUGUUAAGUAAAAAAUAUGCCCUGAAAAAUGACAAGAAACCAGCAAACAAAAGGAGGAGAGGGAUAGUAGUGUUGGUAAGACAA
rnacentral:lncRNA from 1 species